AUUGAACGCUGGCGGCAUGCCUUACACAUGCAAGUCGAACGGCAGCACGGGUGCUUGCACCUGGUGGCGAGUGGCGAACGGGUGAGUAAUACAUCGGAACAUGUCCUGUAGUGGGGGAUAGCCCGGCGAAAGCCGGAUUAAUACCGCAUACGAUCCACGGAUGAAAGCGGGGGACCUUCGGGCCUCGCGCUAUAGGGUUGGCCGAUGGCUGAUUAGCUAGUUGGUGGGGUAAAGGCCUACCAAGGCGACGAUCAGUAGCUGGUCUGAGAGGACGACCAGCCACACUGGGACUGAGACACGGCCCAGACUCCUACGGGAGGCAGCAGUGGGGAAUUUUGGACAAUGGGCGAAAGCCUGGUCCAGCAAUGCCGCGUGUGUGAAGAAGGCCUUCGGGUUGUAAAGCACUUUUGUCCGGAAAGAAAUCCUUGGCUCUAAUACAGUCGGGGGAUGACGGUACCGGAAGAAUAAGCACCGGCUAACUACGUG
rnacentral:rRNA from 1 species